CUGAGAGAGUCCAUGAUGCGUGGGACCAACUGCUUGCGGGACCGACAGUGUGAGACAGCCAGGCGCUCUCGUUCGCGUGAACUUCCAAGCGCGCGAUGGGAAGGGGUGAAAACCUAGAUCGGCUCGCAUGCCUCCUCUGCUCCUCGUCCAAUCCCCAACUCCUCCUCACCUCCCCAAUCGCCGCCACCCCUCCUCCUCUCCUCCCCAAUCACCGCCACCCCUCCUCCUUCCCCAAUCUGCAUCGCGACGGCUGGACGCGGCAGCGGUCGUGGCAGGGGUGGCCGGCUGCUUCAGAGGAGGGAGCACGGCCCAUGAGAUGAAGAGGAGGCGGGGUGGACCGUGCCUCGACCUCAACCUUCCUCUUCUGAGGAGGGCGGAUGGCGGCGGCGACCGGAGGCGGCGGCGACCGGAGGCGCCGGGCGCGGCCACAGAAGGGCCGACGCGUGGCGGAUCCGCUUUGCCGCCGGCAGCUGGACGCGGCAGCGUUGGGGACGGACGACGCGUCAACGCGGAGCAGCGGCAUGCUCUGGAUGCGGAAAAAGGAGGUGUAGGUCGUCGCGGGAGCUCCGACGGCGGCGGCGGUCAAACAGCAGAGUGGCCUCCUCACAGUGGAGGAUCUUCUCCAUCGACGGGCGAGAUCCGGGGUAGGGCCGGCCAGAUCGUUGCGGGCGGCGGAUUUCGAGCGUGGGCAACAGCGACCAUGAGUAUGGGUACCCGUCUUCUUCCCCAGCCAUUCGGUGACUAACGCCCCGAGCGACAACGGAUGCCAGGUACGGAUCUUUGACGUGUGCUUCUGUGGUGUUCGAAAAAAUGCAAAAAGCUAGCGACGAUGUUGGACAGAAGUUGUUCUUCUACGUGGUAGGAAGGGUUUCCCAUUGGUGAUUCACUUUGCCUUUGGCUUCUGUUUUUGUACAAUACAUACAGCUGCUGCUUGGAGCCUGGUGGAGUCGGCGCCCUUGCUGCAGCCUACAGCCGUCUCCCCUUGCCCGCUGACUCAUGAUGCAAUCACAGCUGCCCGGGUCAAUCCACACUUCUCCCUUUGCUACAUAGAAACAGAUCAGUUGUUGAAAAUAUAUUAAAAAGAUAGAAGAAUGGUCUCUUGCAAGCAAAAUUUGAUAGUCUGUCGUGUUUUUGAUGGACACCUUCUUAAACUCUUAACUUAUGCUAAAGCGUAUAGAAGAGUGGUACCUAUAAUCAUGGGAUGUUGUUGUUUAAGCUUGCUUGAAUGUUGUGCUACCGUGCUUGCCUAUUUGGUGACGGAAGACUGGAACGAAACCGACCGCCGGCACGGGUUUGGGGGAUGCUGGCCAACAGGAACGGCAUUCAAGUUCAUGGCCCUAGGUUGGGAAGCAGUGCUCGUCGCGGCGAGCAGGCUGAUUUCAAUACGCCAAGGUAAACUUGAGGGCUGGCAUGGGGAGAAGCGGAAGGAGGUCUGGCAUGACAGCAUGUAGGUUAUAGGUUGAGGCCACGGAAAGCAAGCACACCAGAAAACGUCCCAAGCCAUUCGGUUAAAUGUGCAGGAUACAUGAUCAGGUUAUGAUGGAUUCUGCAGCUUAUGUUUCUGUUAGCAAAAUGGACAACAUCCAGCGCUUCUUGGAUAAUAUGUUGAGGUUCAGGAAUCAAUACAUGGGCAAGAAAAAUUCUGAAGGAAAAGGACAUGGAUGCUCUAUCUUCAGGAAAAGGACAUGGAUGCUCUAUCUUCAGGAAAAGGACAUGGAUGAUCUAGAAGAUAUGCACCCUCAAGGAGAAUAGUAGGAUCAUUUAUUCUUGCCCCCUCCAAAUUUGUUGGUCAACAUAGAAACAGUAGUGGCUUUCUUCCCCAAAGAUCUGUAGCUCGUGGAAGCGGAAGAUGUGGCACAAGGAGCAGAUGAAAGAGGAAUAGGAAGAUGCCCGGUGCCUCCAAACAUUCUUGUUGCCUGACGAGGUCGCUUGGCUUAGAGCAGUGCAACUUGGAGGAAUGGAGGUGGAGACAACGAUAAAGCGGAGAUCCUUCUAGCUCAUGGCAGAGCUUCCUGGCGGUGAUCACACAACGAUGAGGUUGUGAUUCCUUUUUACUUAGAUUGAGAUGAUAGCAGUAUCGGGUGAGAUGAGGCAGCCUGACGAACACACUGUUUUAAUCGGGUGCAGGUGGACUGAAUGUUGGUUCAAGCGAUGCUACAACACAACACUGGCACACUAGAAGAAGCAGCCACCACCCGCUCUUCCACCAACUCCUUGGAUCAUGUAUAAGUUGUCGGAUCAGUGAUGGUUGUGCAAAGGAAAACCAUGGAGCACGGCAAGAUUGAACUCAGACUUAACCUACUACUACUAUGUCAUCAUAAUGAUGCUCUAAGGUUUUCAGUUUGCCCCGCUGCUGGCCUUGUGUAGUUUACACGCAAACACCUAUUGCAGCUUGAUAGUGUUGCCGACUAUCAGUUAUGGCCAGCGAUGUAGCUGGGCCUUGGUUAUUGGAAUUACAGCUUUGUAAAAAGGUUCUCUAAAAAGCGGGAACUUCACUAUUAUCAAUAUACAAUUUGUUUCAUU